CAAUGACACUGCUCAAAACUUAAAAAAAAGAGUAGAAUAAGAUUUUUAUGAAUCCAAAAUAACUUCCAAGUUUUUGCAUUCGGAAACAAUCAGUAUUUUAACAUUCAGCCUUAGAUCUUGAGAAACUUGCAUAUAAUUGGGAGUCAUCAGCAUACUGGUCAUAACCGAAAUGAAGAUAACAAAGAAGAAAGGUUCCAGAAAAGAACCUUGAGGUAUACCUCUGUCCAACCCGAAUGCCCUCGACCUCCUAUUAUCAAUCUCAAAUAUCUGUCAUCUUUGUUCUAAGAAAAAGACUGGACUAAGGGUGUCGUAUUUCCAGCCAACAGAAUAUCAUGGAGAACUUUCAACAGCGCUGUUAAGUUGCUGAACCCCUUACGAAUCCCGGACUGACAUUUUGACGAAAG